AGUGAACGCUGGCGGUAGGCCUAACACAUGCAAGUCGAACGGCAGCACAGUAAGAGCUUGCUCUUACGGGUGGCGAGUGGCGGACGGGUGAGGAAUACAUCGGAAUCUACUUUUUCGUGGGGGAUAACGUAGGGAAACUUACGCUAAUACCGCAUACGACCUACGGGUGAAAGCAGGGGAUCUUCGGACCUUGCGCGAUUGAAUGAGCCGAUGUCGGAUUAGCUAGUUGGCGGGGUAAAGGCCCACCAAGGCGACGAUCCGUAGCUGGUCUGAGAGGAUGGUCAGCCACACUGGACCUGAGACACGGCCCAGCCUCCUACGGGAGGCAGCAGUGGGGAAUAUUGGACAAUGGGCGCAAGCCUGAGCCAGCCAUACCGCGUGGGUGAAGAAGGCCUUCGGGUUGUAAAGCCCUUUUGUUGGGAAAGAAAAGCAGCAGGUUAAUACCCCGCUGUUCUGACGGUACCCAAAGAAUAAGCACCGGCUACCUUCGU
rnacentral:rRNA from 1 species